rnacentral:rRNA from 1 species
UACGUAGGGGGCAAGCGUUGUCCGGAUUUAUUGGGCGUAAAGAGCGUGUAGGCGGUUUGGUAGGUCCGUUGUGAAAACUCGAGGCUCAACCUCGAGACGCCGGCGGAAACCAUCAGGCUAGAGUCCGGAAGAGGAGAGUGGAAUUCCUGGUGUAGCGGUGAAAUGCGCAGAUAUCAGGAGGAACACCAAUUGCGAAGGCAGCUCGCUGGAACGUAACUGACGCUGAGACGCGAAAGCGUGGGGAGCAAACAGG